rnacentral:rRNA from 1 species
UACGGGGGGAGCAAGCGUUGUUCGGAUUUACUGGGCGUAAAGGGCGCGUAGGCGGCCACCGCAAGUCAAUUGUGAAAUCUCCGGGCUUAACUCGGAAAGGUCAACUGAUACUGCGGGGCUAGAGUGCGGAAGGGGCAACUGGAAUUCUCGGUGUAGCGGUGAAAUGCGCAGAUAUCAGGAAGAACACCCGUGGCGAAGGCGGCUCUCUGGGACGGUACUGACGCUGAGACGCGAAAGCGUGGGGAGCGAACAGG